rnacentral:rRNA from 1 species
GGCGACGACGGGUAGCUGGUCUGAGAGGACGAUCAGCAACACUGGAACUGAGACACGGUCCAGACACCUACGGGUGGCAGCAGUCGAGAAUCAUUCACAAUGGAGGCAACUCUGAUGGUGCAACGCCGCGUGGAGGAUGACGGUCC